UGCAAGUCGAACGAACUCUGGUAUUGAUUGGUGCUUGCAUCAUGAUUUACAUUUGAGUGAGUGGCGAACUGGUGAGUAACACGUGGGAAACCUGCCCAGAAGCGGGGGAUAACACCUGGAAACAGAUGCUAAUACCGCAUAACAACUUGGACCGCAUGGUCCGAGUUUGAAAGAUGGCUUCGGCUAUCACUUUUGGAUGGUCCCGCGGCGUAUUAGCUAGAUGGUGGGGUAACGGCUCACCAUGGCAAUGAUACGUAGCCGACCUGAGAGGGUAAUCGGCCACAUUGGGACUGAGACACGGCCCAAACUCCUACGGGAGGCAGCAGUAGGGAAUCUUCCACAAUGGACGAAAGUCUGAUGGAGCAACGCCGCGUGAGUGAAGAAGGGUUUCGGCUCGUAAAACUCUGUUGUUAAAGAAGAACAUAUCUGAGAGUAACUGUUCAGGUAUUGACGGUAUUUAACCAGAAAGCCACGGCUAACUACGUGCCAGCAGCCGCGGUAAUACGUAGGUGGCAAGCGUUGUCCGGAUUUAUUGGGCGUAAAGCGAGCGCAGGCGGUUUUUUAAGUCUGAUGUGAAAGCCUUCGGCUCAACCGAAGAAGUGCAUCGGAAACUGGGAAACUUGAGUGCAGAAGAGGACAGUGGAACUCCAUGUGUAGCGGUGAAAUGCGUAGAUAUAUGGAAGAACACCAGUGGCGAAGGCGGCUGUCUGGUCUGUAACUGACGCUGAGGCUCGAAAGUAUGGGUAGCAAACAGGAUUAGAUACCCUGGUAGUCCAUACCGUAAACGAUGAAUGCUAAGUGUUGGAGGGUUUCCGCCCUUCAGUGCUGCAGCUAACGCAUUAAGCAUUCCGCCUGGGGAGUACGGCCGCAAGGCUGAAACUCAAAGGAAUUGACGGGGGCCCGCACAAGCGGUGGAGCAUGUGGUUUAAUUCGAAGCUACGCGAAGAACCCAUCCCGGUCUUGACAUACUAUGCAAAUCUAAGAGAUUAGACGUUCCCUUCGGGGACAUGGAUACAGGUGGUGCAUGGUUGUCGUCAGCUCGUGUCGUGAGAUGUUGGGUUAAGUCCCGCAACGAGCGCAACCCUUAUUAUCAGUUGCCAGCAUUAAGUUGGGCACUCUGGUGAGACUGCCGGUGACAAACCGGAGGAAGGUGGGGAUGACGUCAAAUCAUCAUGCCCCUUAUGACCUGGGCUACACACGUGCUACAAUGGAUGGUACAACGAGUUGCGAACUCGCGAGAGUAAGCUAAUCUCUUAAAGCCAUUCUCAGUUCGGAUUGUAGGCUGCAACUCGCCUACAUGAAGUCGGAAUCGCUAGUAAUCGCGGAUCAGCAUGCCGCGGUGAAUACGUUCCCGGGCCUUGUACACACCGCCCGUCACACCAUGAGAGUUUGUAACACCCAAAGUCGGUGGGGUAACCUUUUAGGAACCA
rnacentral:rRNA from 1 species